AUGUCUAAAGCUCUGAUUGGUAAUCUGAUUGAUACUUGAUUGGCUAAGCGAGCAGCCAUAUUGUGAUCACAGCUGUUUGCAGAAUGAUACGAAUGGUGUUUGAUGACGUUGGAGCGGUCCCAAAUUGGCGGUGGAGGACUUAAUUGGAUACUGAAAGUUGUGGUGGGGAUUCGAUGUCGCUUCUCUCUUUAUAUAGGACUCUACUCUCUGACCAUGGAGGAAGUAUAACAUUUGACAGGAUGUGUGGAGUCGCUGGUUGGCCGUGUACCAGUAAGCGUGUUUGUAAUAGAGUGAAAAAGCGCGGUUAGGAUUGCUGACGCAAUCCUCCUUACUUUUUGUGCAAUCAUAUCCUGUAUUCCUAUUUAAGCCUUUUGUUUCCCAUACAAAUUUCUGCAAUGGCCAAAUCGUCCCUGCUCUAAAUUCACUGGGGACGGGUGUGCCAAUUUAAAAAGAAGAAGAAGAAGAAAGGAUGUAUGAACGAGAGUAGGGAGCGCUCGGCGGCCUAUGGCCUAUCACGCCAUGCGGCACGAGGCAGUCUGAGCCGCCAUUUGUAAUUAUCGCACGGAGUUCGUGAAUAUCGUACGGUGAAAAACCAAGCAAUCUGCACAUCCAGUUCCGUAAAAAGAAACGAGGAUUCACUACCAGAGGAGAAGGAACCUUGUUAAAGAUUAUAUUAUUGAGCGCUUGAUAAACCGGAAGCAAUGACACAUGGAGAUGGAUGUUACGACAGACUACGCGGUUAAUUUUCAUAAAGUUUGCGAGGAUGUGUGGAAAAGAUCGCGGAUACGAUUACCUGUCAGGUCGAUGAGCGGCGGAAAGAAGGAUUUAGCAAACUUCGUGGGUUUUACCAACACCGCGGAAAUCGUGAGGAGGGCCGUAGCGGACAAACACCAGUACGUAAUUGCGACCUGAAAAGGUCUAUUGUGACCAUGCUUAGAUGAGCGCCAGAUCGAAGCUUUUGAAGAACCCAAUGAUCUGUCAGGGAUCGAUCUCCCUAAUUUGAUCGGGGGUGAUAAGCACCCAAGGAAUUUCUGUCUAAGAUAGCCGACAGCCGGACCAGUACACAUAAUGUGCUCAGCUGUUUCGGCCGUCUCCAUGCGAGGCUGUUUCGGCCGUCUCGAUCCGAAGCGGCAGCCAUCAUCCUCAGUUUUGCCAAUUAGGCUGAGGUGGUAUCUGAGUUGGCAGUGUCCAAAGAGAAGGCCUACCAGGGUGGUUAGAUCCCCUUUGUCCAGCUGGAUGCUACAGCCAGCCUUAAGGAAAGGAAAGCUAUCUCUCGAAAAGAUGCCUGGGAUUUGAAGGAGGCAGGGAAGGAUGCAACAAAAACUCUUUUAUUCUCGUGACCACACUAGUGGGAUGUGCGGCACGAGCCAAACGCACUUUGAUGAUUCCGAAAUUAUGCGUCAGCGUGUAAUGACACGCUUUAACGCCUUUUCAGAAUCGUGCGAUCGUUGGUCCUAAUUAGAGUCAAAGAAUUCAAUCUCUAUAAUCUCCGACUCGUGAUCGGAGCGAGUGCGAUCUUUUCUUUAGGAGGAAGGGUGACGAGAUGGGUUAAUUAAAAGAAUUAUUUAUAUUGAAGUUUUUUUUUAAAAUAAAAAAUAACAUUUAUUUUGACAAUUAAAGUUUCGAUACACCAUUGUUAUACCAAGUUAUUUGAAAGAAUUAGAAUAUAAUACACCGCAUUUUCCGUUAUAUAAAAAUAAAAGAAAUACAAGUGAUUUGGCGGUCAUUGUUAAUUAGAGAAAUUAAAUUAGAAUACAUGAUCAGUUGAUUAUACCACCGACGAGAAACUAUUAAAGACCACUAAUCUUACGGGAGUUUGUGUGACUAUUAAAUUUUUAAU